UACGACGCAGCGAAGACGAUCUUGCUGAUCUGAGUGAGACUGAGGAUUCAGUGAUCGUACAAAAGACUCCACGAUAUCGCGAUCUCUUUAUCUCUGGAAUAUUUUUUCAACUUUUGAACACAAAGCGAAACCUGUUGCGUUGUCGUGUUGGGCUCAGGCAGGUUUAUUGAGAAGAACUUGAUACUGCUGGUAGCAGAGUUCAUUUGCCGAGUACUAGUACAUCAACUCGUCUUGAUGACACUAGCUUGUGGUGCGGUGCUCUUUAUUUCAGGAGUUGUCUGAACAGAGGCCACCUCGUGCCUUCGCUGCCAGUUUUAUAGAAUCUGAUAGCCUUUGAGUUGGAGAAAUGGAGUACGAAGAAGGUGAAAUUGAGGAUGUGGAAGAAGGGUACCAGGACAGCUCGCGCCAGGCUAGGGAUGACGAAGAGCGUAGCAGCCACCGGCACAAGAAGCACAAGCGUCACCAUAAGCACCGUCAUCACGACGAAGACAAGCAGCGCUCCAGGCAGGUGGAGGUGUCCGAGGAGGAAGUGCAAAAGAAAGACGAGGAUGAAGACGUCGAAGAUGCACGGUCGCACAGUCAUCAUCGACGCCACAAGCGCAAGCAUAAAAAGAAGAAGCACCGUCACCAAGGCUCGGCAUCGGAGGCGGAUUCAGAUGGCAAUGACUCAUCAGAGCACCAUAGGAAGAAGAAGCGCUUGAGUGAUGGCGAGGAUGACCAGUUGAUGGUGUUGGAGAAGCGUCGAAAGCUUCUUCAGAAGCAGCUCCAUGAAGAUGGCCUUUGUAUUGUGGAUGCGGAAGACCAGCAGCUCAGUCGAGAUGAUAGCCAGCAAAAGAGUACGGGAGGUCUGUCUUCACUGCAGGACUACACCUCAUCGCCAGAGUCCACGCCCGUGCGUGGAAAUGAAGUGGCGGCAAAACUUGAAAACGGGGACGGCAAGCACCGUCGUUCGGCCGAGUCACCAGAGGACAAGCCUGAUCGGCACAUUAGAGAUCGGUCGAGCCGGGAAAAGCACAAGCGUAGUCGGUCUCCUCACGAGGAAAAGCGUUCUCAUCGCUCAUCCGAGAAGUCCAGUAGAUCGAUACCCGACGAGCAGGCCAGCAGUCGAAAGCACCACCAUAGCCCAUCACCGGAUGAGACAGCUUCGCCCGUGCGCCGCCGAAAUCGGAGUAGGUCACCGCGCAGUCGCAAUGGUGCAUCGGCAGCGGAGAGUUCCAUGCCCAGACGCAAGCGCAGCUCCAGUCCCCGGUGGAGGCAGCGUAGCCGAAGUCCCGAGUCGCGGCACACCAGGAAUCGUAGCCGUUCUGCCGAGCGCCGGCGCACCAGUAGAAGUCCACCAGCACGCAUUCGCCGACGGAGCAGAAGUCCUGCUCUUCGUGGAGGCAGCCGUCGCUCAGUCGAUCGUCAUCGUCGCAGCCCCAGGCGCCGGAGUCGCUCACCGGAUCGAGGCAGGUCACGACGCUCUCCUCGGCGCAGCAGGUCUCGCGAUCGCGCUCGUCGAUCGGAUGGUCGGCACUCGGACCGGAGGCAUCGUGAUUCACGCUCCAGAGCACACAAACGGGAGUCAUCUGGCUCAGAGGCACUUGAGUUUGAAAUGGAGGAAGAAGUUGACGAGGAGGAGCAGAUUCGACGCAUGCGUGAGCGCCGGCAGAAGAUGCUGCAGGAUGUCAAGCAAGCAGAAGCCACGAUUCAACCGACGGCCGCUGCCCUGGCUGCUAAAGCAGCAGCACCAGCAGAUCCCACAGAUCCCACCGAUGCUGCUACACCUGCUGUUGGCGCUGCUGCUGGUGCUGCUACUGCUGCUGCUGCUGAUAGCAGUGACGAUAACGAGAAGAAACGGCAAGAUGGCAUUGACUCCGAUGAUGAUGACAUUGUGGAGAUAGAAGCCGAUGACAAGGCCUUCGUGAAGGAAGAUAUGGACAUGUUUGCUGGCGACAUGUUCAGUGAAAAUUAUGAUAGUCCUGGACUGAAACACGUGGUAGGUGGUCGCAAUGAGAACCCAACGCUAAAGGACAACUGGGAUGAUGCGGAGGGCUACUACAGAGUGUGUAUUGGCGAGCAACUGGACAGUCGCUACACCAUCUAUGGCUUCACUGGGCAGGGUGUGUUCAGUAAUGUAGUGCGUGCCCGCGACAGUCUGCGCCCCAAUCAAGAAGUGGCCGUGAAAAUCAUCCGCAAUAACGAGAUGAUGCACAAGACUGGUCUCCAGGAAUUGAAGAUUUUGCAAAAGCUCAACAACAAUGACGUGGACAACAAGUUCCACAUUCUACGACUCUACCGUCACUUCUUCCACAAGAACCAUCUGUGCAUGGUUUUUGAGUCUCUCCACAUGAACUUGCGGGAAGUGCUGAAGAAGUAUGGCAAAGGCGUUGGCCUGCAUAUCAAAGCAGUGAGGUCGUACACACAGCAAAUGCUUCUGGCACUGAAGCUACUGCGUCGUGUCGGUGUGCUGCAUGCGGACAUCAAGCCAGACAAUAUCCUGGUCAACGAGAAUAAGAUGUCCUUGAAGCUGUGCGAUUUCGGAUCGGCGUCGCUGAUCACUGGCGAGAAUGACAUCACGCCAUACCUGGUCAGUCGUUUCUACCGAUCACCGGAAAUCAUUAUCGGACGGCCCUAUGACUACGCUCUUGAUCUAUGGUCCGUGGCAUGCACCAUGUUUGAAACCUACACUGGAAAGAUCAUGUUUCCCGGGAAGAGCAACAACCAGAUGCUGAAGCUCAUGAUGGACCUGAAGGGCAAGAUGCCAAAGAAAAUGAUCCAGAAGGCCGUGUUCCGUGACAAGCACUUCGAUGCCCAGUGCAACUUCCUCAAUAUUGAGGUGGAUAAAGUUACCGAAAGGGAAAAGGUCACUGUAAUGGCCAUCAUCAAUCCAACGUUUGAUUUGCUUGGAGCUCUGAGAGGCCGCCAGUCGCUGGACGAAGAAGGUUUCCGCAAGGUUAAGCAGUUCAAGGAUGUGCUCGACAAGAUGGUGUUUUUAGACCCGACGAAGCGGAUCACCGUGAAUGAAGCCCUGCACCACCCGUUCAUCACCGAGCAGUAGCGGAACGAGACAGGAAGUAGUAUGGCUGUUGGCGGGCCAGCCGUAUUGUAUCAAGAAGCUUGUGCUGGUCAUUAGCUGAUGCCGUUUUGCGUCUUUUCUCUGGCUUCUCUUACAGCUCCGAUGGCCGCAGGCAUGAUCCUGCGCCACUGCGUCUUGGUGCCGGGUCGUUGGCUACCCAAGAAAGAACGUGCACAAGCCAAUGGCUUUCCACAUGUGCUCCUCAUUCCUACGCAUGGGCCAGCAAAGCAAGAACUUUUGCCAGCAUCACGUGCUGGACACACGUGCUGUCUGACUUGUACUGGAUGAGUCGCCGAGGGCCUGCCAGAGGCCAUGCAGUGCAUUUGCGGCGAAGCUUGUGAAAACAUCGUGGACGUACUUCCCUUCGCUGCGUGCUGCGGUCGAGUGUAUUGUACGUAAUUUUGUCGUUGACGCGCGUCAGUGUUUCUCCUUCUGCAUUUUUUCAGGUGCUGUGCGGCCAUGUUGAAUAGCUUGUGGUUAUUGAGUAUGCAACAUUGUAGGGCAUACAUUUGUCCUCUGCAAUCUAUCUAAUUCCCCAAGGUGCACACAAUCUAGUGCUCAGAACCCCACCUGAACACUGUUCUUUGGAGACGAUGGAGUAUGUACAAAAUUAGCCACAAUGUACCUGCAAUGGCUCAGGUUUCGGUCACAUAAACUGGGCUGGGUGGGGUUUAUGCACUGGAGAAUACGGUAGCACUCCGGUGGGGGUUAGGGGUCAUUUAACCUAUGAACUUCUUACCACACUGCUAUGUUAGACGAUCGCUUCUUGACGUGUCUCCUUCACGUUAACAUUUUUAUGUUCUGGUUCUAAGGGUUUCAGGCCACACGCCCACCGCUUUUUCUUUGCCUGCGAAACUUGCAAGCCAGAUCGACAAAUAGCGGUGAGUGUGUGACCGGAAAUGCUCUGUUUGAAACCGAACUCUGUGAAGUCUUGAAACUUGUAGUGCACCGUGCAGAAGUAUUUUUUUUUAUGUGGCAUGCGUUUUAUCAACUGUAUUAGCUCAGUGCAACUGGUAAUGUGAGGUGACUGCUUCUCCUUGCUUUAUGCAAUGGCGAUGUUCUGUUCAGUUGGACUAUUGUCCUAUUAUUCGCAAAUCUGAACGUCUUUUUUUAAAAUCCUGCUCUCACAGUUGCGUUUAUUGGAGAUGGAGUAUUUAGUUUUUCUUUCUUUCAUGUAUGUAGCUGUCAUGUGAUCUGUUUAUACCUGUGCAAGAGCUUUGCAGAGGCGUUACUCGUAAUGAUAGUUUCACGUAUCUCCUUCACCCUGACAAAUCAACAAAAAGGA